UACAGAGGGGGCAAGCGUUGUUCGGAAUUACUGGGCGUAAAGGGCGCGUAGGCGGCCCGCUAAGUCGAACGUGAAAUCCCCGAGCUCAACUCGGGAACUGCGUCCGAUACUGGCGGGCUUGAAUCCGGGAGAGGGAUGCCGGAAUUCCAGGUGUAGCGGUGAAAUGCGUAGAUAUCUGGAGGAACACCGGUGGCGAAGGCGGCAUCCUGGACCGGCAUUGACGCUGAGGCGCGAAAAGCUAGGGGAGCAAACGGG
rnacentral:rRNA from 1 species